rnacentral:rRNA from 1 species
AGAGUUUGAUCCUGGCUCAGAACGAACGCUGGCGGCGUGCUUAAUACAUGCAAGUCGUGCGAGAAAGUGGGGGCAACUCCAUGAGUACAGCGGCGAACGGGUGAGUAACACGUAAGAAACCUGCCUCUAAGUCUGGAACAACACUGCUAACGCGGUGCUAAUACCGGAUGUGAUUGCGCGGCCGCAUGGUUGUGCAAUCAAAAAUGACCUCUCCCUGGAAGUUAUCGCUUAGAGAUGGUCUUGCGCCCCAUUAGCUAGUUGGCGGGGUAACGGCCCACCAAGGCUGUGAUGGGUAGCCGGUCUGAGAGGGCGAUCGGCCACAUUGGGACUGAGAUACGGCCCAGACUCCUACGGGAGGCAGCAGUAGGGAAUUUUGCGCAAUGGACGAAAGUCUGACGCAGCAACGCCGCGUGAGUGAUGAAGGUCUUCGGAUUGUAAAGCUCUGUUGAGUGGGAAGAAAGUCCUGGGGAAUAAUACGCCUUGGGAUUGACGGUACCAUUCGAGUAAGCACCGGCUAACUACGUGCCAGCAGCCGCGGUAAUACGUAGGGUGCAAGCGUUGUUCGGAUUUACUGGGCGUAAAGGGAGCGUAGGCGGAAAUGCAAGUUGGGAGUGAAAUCCAUAGGCGCAACCUGUGGGUUGCUUCCAAAACUGCUUUUCUUGAGUAUGGGAGAGGAUGAUGGAAUUCCAGGUGUAGCGGUGGAAUGCGUAGAUAUCUGGAAGAACACCAGUUGCGAAGGCGGUCAUCUGGCCCAAUACUGACGCUGAGGCUCGAAAGCUAGGGGAGCAAACAGGAUUAGAUACCCUGGUAGUCCUAGCCGUAAACGAUGGACACUAGUUGUUGGGGGGAUUUCUCCCUCAGUGACGUAGCUAACGCGUUAAGUGUCCCGCCUGGGGAGUACGCCCGCAAGGGUGAAACUCAAAGGAAUUGACGGGGGCCCGCGCAUGCGGUGGAGCAUGUGCUUUAAUUCGAUGCAACGCGAAGAACCUUACCUGGGCUUGACAUGGGAAUGAAAGGCUGCAGAGAUGUGGCCCUUACCUUCGGGUACAUUCUACACAGGUGCUGCAUGGUUGUCGUCAGCUCGUGUCGUGAGAUGUUGGGUUAAGUUCCGCAACGAGCGCAACCCUCGUCCUUAGUUGCCAUCAGGUAAUGCUGGGAACUCUAAGGAUACUGCCUGGUUUAACCAGGAGGAAGGUGGGGAUGACGUCAAAUCAUCAUGGCCCUUACGUCCAGGGCUAGACACGUGCUACAAUGGCCGGUACAGAGGGAUGCAAGGCUGCGAGGUCAAGCUAAUCCCCCAAAACCGGUCUCAGUUCGGAUUGAAGUCUGCAAUUCGACUUCAUGAAGCUGGAAUCGCUAGUAAUCGCGGAUCAGCAUGCCGCGGUGAAUACGUUCCCGGGCCUUGUACACACCGCCCGUCAAGCCAUGAAAGAGGGUAGUACCCAAAGUCGCUUCUCCAACCGCAAGGGGGAGGGUGCCUAAGGUAAGACUCUUGAUUGGGGCUAAGUCGUAACAAGGUA